AUAACGAGAUGGGAAGCCGCUGGCUUCCCGUGUAUGAUUGAACCCGCGGGCGCGUGAGCGCAGUGGGUUCAUUUUUGU
rfam:Yokenella regensburgei ATCC 43003 genomic scaffold Scfld157, whole genome shotgun sequence.